UGUGUCACCGGAAAGCGGCAGGGGAGCAGGGAACCCGACCCCAGGCGCCGGCAAGGGAGUGCUCGGCGGCGAUGAGCGCCUGGUGGAACACAACGCCACAGCGUGUCCACCGCCACUGCCAGAGCCAGGGGGAGAUUCCAGGUUCAUGGGCACCCCGGGCACCGGCGGGGGUGAGCGGAGAGUGUAGAGGAGCGGCGAGGCCUUAAGCUUCCCGCAGGAGCCUGCUACGCGCUCCCGGGCGCAGGCGCCUGUCGGUGGCGGGGUAGCCCGCGUUGAAGAGAUACCGCACCGCGGCACGCCGCCCGGCUCAGCUGGGCACCGCGGGCAAGGGAGAGGAGCCGCACACGGCCCUGGGAGGUGAUAAACGCGGGGACGCGUGGCCCCAGUUCACAAAGGCUGACGAGGCCGGUGACGCCGGGAAUACGGCAGGCGGCGAGGAGGUGCCGCAGAGACGAGGUGGCGACGAGAGCCCGAGAGCCGCCGGCGGGGUGAUGAGGGAAGCCGCGGACACAGCCGCUCCGCCCGGAAAUCACAGGGGCCUCACCGCCAGGGGCACCGAUCUCCCGAGGGCGUCCCCACCAGGCCUUGGCCACCCGCCGGCCUCUGCCUCCCUAUGACACCCUCCCGGCAGGGAAAACCAGCGGGCCCCGCUGGCUUGCUCGAGUCCCCAAUGUCAGCCCCUCUCCCCACACAGGGGCACACACGGAGCCCGCCCUUUCACUUGGGGAACGUCGCGGGGCUCCGCACCGCGGGCAGCGACCGGCUGGGAGGUGACGCCCAGGCGUUAAGGCUGCCAUCAGUGUCGUUGGAGCAGACGCGUGGCCUCGGGCAAGGAGAAUGGCGAGGCGGCAUGGAGUUGGGAAGAGCCAGGCCGUGAGGACAGGCCCGCGGGAAGGACCUAACGUAGGAUCCGGGACACAGCCGCGAGCCAGGACAAACGGCGCGGCCUGUCCUCCCUGGAGGGGGUGGUCCGGCGGCGCCCGGAACUAGGACUGUCCUCCUGCCUCCUCCUCAGGCCACCCAUGAUCCCCGCACCCUGAUCUGACCCAGUGCCUCCAUAAGGAAGGAAACCGACACUUCUGAAGAGCGUUUAUUUAAUUCAUUUCAUCACAGUGUUAGCAUUGUUUCAUAUUCGUUGUACAUAAAGCUUUUCUGCUGUGCCUAGGGUGCAGAGUCAGCGAAACACCACGCAAUGUGUUACUGAAUUUUUUCCUUUACUCCAUCUAGGAGUCCCUGUACCCCUGGGUGCCCAAUAUACGGCAGGAAAUCCCAGGUUAACAAAAGUCAGUGAAGAACUCUCACUGGGGCUCGACCAGAGGGAGGAGACUGCGUCAGCACAGGCUGCAAAGCGGUUUAGAAUUCUAGCAGGUGCUCGGAAUGCGCAUGCGCAAGUGACGCUGUACCUCCUCUGUGUCACAAAGGGAAUCUGGUUCCUAAGCAACAGACCUCUAGCCCAAUGGCUGCCCUGUGGUCUGAACAUGUAAGGGGCUCCCCAAGUGUGCAGGUCACGGUGGAGGUGCUGUGGCCUGUGAAGUCAGAAGUAGACACGUGAGGAUGAUUCUGCAGCCCUGAGGAUGACAUGCCCGCGGAUGGUUGUCAUUUCCAUUGCCUUUAAGGAAUUCCCUGUUCUGGGAGCCAGCAUACUCUGCUCUGUCAGGGAGUGUGACCCGCAAAUCUGAAACAAGAUUGUAGCCAAGGGAGAAUUCUUCCCUGAAGAAUCCGUUCCUGAGUUUGCUGAUGUCCAAGGGAGGAUGCCCAAGUGGAACUGACGGUGACCAUUCUUCUCAUAGCCCAUGAAGGCAGGUCAGUGUAAUCUCACCCUGAUCUGACCCUGUGCCUUCAUAAGGAUGGAAGCCAAGACUUAGGAGGUGUCUGUUUAUAUAAAUCAUUUCUUCACCAUGUUAACAUUGUUUCACGUUCCUUGUAUUAAAAGAUUGUCUUUAGGAACUGCAAAUUUAUCAGUAAGAAAACAUCAAUUUCUUUUA